ensembl:rRNA 5S_rRNA 5S ribosomal RNA
GUCUAUGGCCAUACUACCCUGAACAUGCCCGAUCUUGUCUGAUCUUGGAAGCUAAGCAGGGUUGGGCCUGAUUAGUACUUGGAUGGGAGACCACCUGGGAAUACCGGGUGCUGUAAGGG